UGUAUGCUUGUGCAUGUGUGUGUAUUGAUAAAUGUGGUAUACUAUUAAAAAUACAACUCUGAAAGGAAAAAAAAAAUUUUUCUCCAUCGAUUUGAUUCUGCUGAGUAUUGGAUAUUUGAUGUUAGAUGCUGUUGCAACGCUAAACUUUUCAACUAUUAAUUUUUCAGGAUAUUCAAAACAUUUUCAAUAUAUGCAAGUUGAGAGUUUCAAAAAAAAGUUAUAUUCCAAUUUGCUGAAAUUAACAACAUUUUAGUAGAUAUAACUGCACAGUUAUAUCUACUAAAAUGUUCUCUAAUGAUCCAGAAGAAGGUUUUAAACAACGUAAACUUUUAGAUGAACUUAAUGUUUUGAAAAGAAAAAUUGCAAAUAUAGAUAUCCAAUACAUCGCUUUUGUAUACGUAAAACAGUUAUCAUUAAUUAGCGGUAAAAAAUUGAGUAGAUACAAUUAAAAAUAUUUUGCUCUUACUACCAACAGACACUAUUUUGUCAGAAUACAGCAUGAAUUGUCUAAAGAAGAAAAAAAAGUUUAAAGAAUUGACAAGUCUAUGUAAUGCUGAAACUGCUUUAAAGUCAAAUAAAAACAAGAUGGAUGCCACCCAUCCAACUUAUUGGGAGAGUAAUUGGGAAUUCUUCUGACCGAUUAAAGAAAACAUCCACUAAUAUGAAUAUCGAUCAAUGAUCUGCUUAAUUAGCUGUUGUAUUUUUUAUUUAUUUUCCAUUUUUCAGCAAUUUUCUUCUAUUUAUAAUGCACUAUCGAUUAUAUUCUACAGUACCUAAUAGUUUUUAAAAUGGAAAGGGUAAUUUUAUUUGAAAAAUUAUUCUUAUUUUUUGUAAAGUAAUUAAUUUAUUUUAAAUAUAUCAAAUUACACUUUAUUUACUUAGAUUUCUUUUUAUAACUUCCCUUGCCUAAAUUAAGGAAAAUCUAAGGUGUGUGUUGUAAUUCAUUGCAUUUUUAUAUAACUUUUAAAAGAAUGUCUUGGUAAUAUUCAGACGUCUCUAGGACGUCUGAAUAAGAUGUCCUUAAGUCAUUCAUAUGACACCAGUCAGAGACAUCUCUAAGACAUCUGCAAAAAAUGUCUUU